CAACGUGCCCACAGAGGGAUUGGGACAGUGCGCGUGUAAAAUGGGUGCAGACAUUUGUUGCGUAUGAACGUACAGAGCGUUUUACUCAGUUUAACAGAUGUGAGGUGAAUGCCAUCGAGGUGAAAUACAAAGAGGAAAUACGUGUCAUACACAAUGCUUUAUUUACUUAGCUUAAACGACUAAGUUCCCGGAUAAAAUACGAUAGCCGUAAAUAUAAAGAUGCGAUUGAACUUGAGAAAAAAUUGUUCGCUGACGCAAGUUUGCGCCAUCAGUCUUUGUGAACGGAAUUAUCGCCAAUGCCUGUUAAGCGAUUAUUAAGGAUCUCUCUUCUUUUGAGUAGCGCACCAUGUUAGUUUUAGAGUGAAUAGAGAAACUUAACUUCAUGCCAAGGGGUAAUACUUUGGAUAUGAGGAUAAUAAUAAUAACACUGCCCAGCAAAAUUCUGUUGCGUAAAAUAUUGCAGCCGAUUCUUAUAAGAUUUUGAUCGAAUCUGAUCUUGAAUUUUUUUUCCAGUUUUUAAGUUUUCAAGCAACUUGGGGUUAAAGGUGUCUUCCUCUCCACUGCUAGAUUUCCACUGCUAGAGUCAGUUCUACUUCAAAGAGUGGUACAGGAAUUUCUGCAGUAUGUAGAUAAAGGCCGUUAACCCUUUAACCAUAUUUUUUUUAAUUUUGAGUAUUUAAGGGCAGUGUUUAGGCUUUCAUAUCCUCCCACACAGACAGAUAUAUGGCAUCAAUAUAUUGUUUUACAGAGGCUCAAAAAUGUUCAAAAACGGUUUUUUGGCACCUUUAAGCCUAAGUUGCUCGAAAACUAAUAUCAAAUCUAAUAUCUUUAGGGUCAGAUUCGGAUUCUGCGGGAAAAAUCGUAUAACAAUCAGCUAUAAUAUUUUAGUCAACAUAAGAUUGUUUAAAUUUUGUUGGCCUGUAUAAUAAUAGUUUGGUGCUUACACAUACGUUAGUGU